CCUACGGUGGGCAGCAGUGGGGAAUAUUGCACAAUGGGGGGAACCCUGAUGCAGCGACGCCGCGUGAAGGAAGAAGUAUUUCGGUAUGUAAACUUCUAUCAGCAGGGAAGAAAAUGACGGUACCUGACUAAGAAGCCCCGGCUAACUACGUGCCAGCAGCCGCGGUAAUACGUAGGGGGCAAGCGUGAUCCGGAUUUACUGGGUGUCAAGGGAGCGUAGGCGGCAGUGCAAGUCAGAAGGGAAAGCCCAAGGAUCAACCAUGGGACUGCUUUUGAACCUGUACAGCUAGAUUGAAGGAGAGGUAAGUGGAAUUCCUAGUGUAGCGGUGAAAUGCGUAGAGAUUAGGAGGAACACCAGUGGCGAAGGCGGCUUACUGGACUGUAAAUGACGCUGAGGCUCGAAAGCGUGGGGAGCAAACAGGAUUAGAUACCCUUGUAGUC
rnacentral:rRNA from 1 species